rnacentral:tRNA from 1 species
GGCUCCGUAGCUCAGCUGGUUAGAGCGCACGACUCAUAAUCGUGAGGUCGGAGGUUCGAGUCCUCCCGGAGCUA